rnacentral:rRNA from 1 species
CUCAGGAUGUGAAUCUGCGCCUUGUUGCGCCGAAUUGUGAUCUGUCGACGGUGGCAUUACCGGCCGGGCCAAGUCCCUUGGAACAGGGCGGCUGAGAGGGUGAGACCCCCGUUCGCCCGGCUAGAUGAGCCGCCAGUCCACGAGUCGAGUUGUUUGGGAUUGCAGCUCAAAGCGGGUGGUAAAUUCCAUCUAAAGCUAAAUAUUGGUGGGAGACCGAUAGCGUACAAGUACCGUGAGGGAAAGAUGCAAAGAACUUUGAAAAGAGAGUUAAAGAGUACCUGAAAUUGCUGAAAGGGAAGCGAAGGAAACCAGUGUUGGCUCGGUCAUACUUCCCUGCCCGCUUGCGGGUUGGGCGCUGUGUCCGGCCUUGGUUGUUCUUGGUUGGUUCUGCUGGAAGAGCGCGGGGAGAGUUGAUCUCCGUUGCUAGCAGCGGUCCCGACUGAGGAGGACGAAAUGGUUUUCUUUACCCCGUCUUGGAACACGGACCAAGG